UGCCUCCCCCCCCAGCCCGGGGCGCACUCGCACUGGUCCGGCCGCACGCAGACGCCUCCGUUCUGGCAGGGCUUGGCGCAGAUGGCUGCGGGCGCAGGACGUGGGAUUCAGAACCGGGCAGACUGCUGGCUCUCCAGCCCGGCGGGGCGAACCUCCCACGAGGCCUAGGAGGAUCCAACCUCACCUUCAUCACAGGUGGCGGAAGCUGUACGAGCUGUCAAAGAGCCCAUGCACCACGAUGACCGGCUUGUAGGAAACCCGGUGGGGCGCGGGGGCUGCCGGCAGUAGCAGCAACAGCAGGAAUGGCAACAGAAGCAGGAAUCCCGCCGGUGGGAGCCGCAGCCCUUGGAGCCCCAGCAUGCUGCCGCCUGAGAAGAGGGCGAUGAGGGCCUGUGAGAGAGAUGACAACACCCCCUUCCCUACGGAACAGACGCCGGCAAUCCAGCAUCCAUCGCCCGUUCCCAUGCUAGGUCCUAGUCGCAAAAUAUUUUUCACUCCAGUCCUCUCCCCACAAACACCCCCCCCUACAACGUAGUAGACGCACCAAUGCGCAGCCAAGCCCCGCCCCCAACUCAGCGGGGACUCGGUCCCUAGGCCCAGGGUCUUCCUAAAGCAUCGUCCCAGCCGUACAAGACCGAGGUUUUGCAAAAGAGACCCCAGAGCAGCAGCGCGGGACCCCAGGAGGGUGCAAACUCCCACCUGGCCUGGGUCCUUGAGCCUCUCUCCGCCCGCUGUUUACCUCCCCCUAGCUUGGAACGCACGUGGGGGAGGGGAAGGGUGUAAGGAGACCGCGCGCAGGGGAAUGACGGAUGGGAGAGGGGUGGCUGCUCGGGGUCGCGCUUAGCCGUCACGUCCGGGGCUUUCCCUAGCAACCGUACAAGCGUCCCCCGCAACGCAGGCCCGAGACAGGAGGGGCAAUGGGACAAUCCAUUGCGCCCUAAGAGCGGGGGGGGGGAAUAGGUGGAGCGAACCAUUUAGACUGGUGGGGAGAGAAAGAAGCGGCGAACAUGCUGGGAAUUGAGAGAAGGCCUCUUUGGGCCCUGCGGCAGCAGCGACCUAAGGAUCCCAUUUCCCGGCCUUGAUUAGCCCUAGUUCCCAAAUUCAGGCGUCCGGCUGCGCAUCAGAACACGAAGUUCUCUUUCCCCAGGGAGGCGCUGGGGGAACAGGCUGGAGGAGCAGUCCGCAUUUCGCGGUCCGCCAGUUGACGGCUGGUUAGCCCAGGCAGACCCAGCCCCCAGCCCCUUCCCACCCGCCCCAGGUCUGCGUCUUACAACUCUUCAUCCUGAAGUGCUUGUAGCGCCCUUGUCUCCAGAGACGAGGAGAGUCCUCGAGGCCUCUCGGGGUAAAGUGUGGCUUGGCUCAGGUUCUCCUACCCUACUCCACUCCGCUGCCCCUCUACGACCCACCCCCCAAGGGGCGGAGGGCCCCCGGGGCAGCUCUGACUCAAGCUCGCGUGGUUUUCGGACCAGUCUUUCAACUUGAGCGACCCCCAAACCUCGCCCUGGACUUGGAGCUCUUUGUGGGCGGCUCCUUACUCAGACCCUCCCACUCGGUCCGGACUUCUGAACUCCAGGCGUCCUGCACCUUUGCCCCUGUAGCCCCGCCCGAUACCCAGGUGCCGGGUUAGGGCUUUUACUUAGCAUUUAAAGACUUUUUCCUUGAUAAAAAGAAUUUCGCAGCUCCUCUGAA